CGCUGGCGGCAUGCCUAAUACAUGCAAGUCGAGCGAACAGAUGAAGUGCUUGCACUUCUGACGUUAGCGGCGAACGGGUGAGUAACACGUAAGGAAUCUACCUAUAAGCGGGGGAUAACAUUCGGAAACGGGUGCUAAUACCGCAUAAUAUCUUCUUCCGCAUGGAAGAAGAUUGAAAGACGGCUCUGCUGUCACUUAUAGAUGACCUUGCGGUGCAUUAGUUAGUUGGUGGGGUAAUGGCCUACCAAGACGAUGAUGCAUAGCCGACCUGAGAGGGUGAUCGGCCACAUUGGGACUAAGACACGGCCCAAACUCCUACGGGAGGCAGCAGUAGGGAAUCUUCCGCAAUGGGCGAAAGCCUGACGGAGCAAUGCCGCGUGAGUGAAGAAGGCCUUCGGGUCGUAAAACUCUGUUAUAAGAGAAGAACAAAUUGUAGAGUAACUGCUACAGUCUUGACGGUAUCUUAUCAGAAAGCCACGGCUAACUACGUG
rnacentral:rRNA from 1 species